UUUUUCUCUAAGCCCACCUCCUUCUCCUAUUUCCAUCCCCCCUUUCCAUCCUCUAUAAGCCUCCUCCUUCUCCUCCUCCAUCCCUGCCCUUCCCUCCCUCCUCCUCCUCCCCCAGUAGCAGCGACACCCUCGGUGCCCCGUUGCCGCAGCCCUCGCAGCCCGCGGCAGGAGCGGGAAUGGAGCCGGGCCAGGACUGGCUGCAUGGAGGAGGAGGCUGUGAGGAAGAGGAAGAUGCCCCGGGACAGCCAGGCAGACUCAUGAAACUUAUGUUGGUUUGAUGUGACCAAGAGAAGAGUUUUGCUCUGCUUUUAAUUCCAACAAGCAGCAGAGCUGAAACCUGUUGAGAAGAGUCUCUUCACUUUAUAGCUAAAGCAAACUGCCAGCGAUCUUUUUUCCAGCUCUGGGCAGGAAA